AACGAACGCUGGCGGCAUGCCUAACACAUGCAAGUCGAGCGCCGUAGCAAUACGGAGCGGCGCACGGGUGAGUAACGCGUGGGAACCUGCCCAGAGGUUCGGGACAACCGCGGGAAACUGCGGCUGAUACCGGAUGAUACCUGCGGGUCAAAGAUUUAUCGCCUUUGGAGGGGCCCGCGUCAGAUUAGGUAGUUGGUGGGGUAACGGCUCACCAAGCCUGUGAUCUGUAGCUGGUCUGAGAGGAUGACCAGCCACACUGGGACUGAGACACGGCCCAGACUCCUACGGGAGGCAGCAGUGGGGAGUAUUGGACAAUGGGGGCAACCCUGAUCCAGCAAUGCCGCGUGGGUGAUGAAGGCCUUCGGGUUGUAAAGCCCUUUCGGCGGGGACGAUGAUGACGGUACCCGCAGAAGAAGCCCCGGCUAACUUCGUGCCAGCCGCCGCGGUAAUAC
rnacentral:rRNA from 1 species